rnacentral:rRNA from 1 species
GUGCCAGCAGCCGCGGUAAUACGGAAGGUCCGGGCGUUAUCCGGAUUUAUUGGGUUUAAAGGGAGCGCAGGCCGAUGGUUAAGCGUGACGUGAAAUGUAGCCGCUCAACGGCUGAACUGCGUCGCGAACUGGCUGUCUUGAGUGAGUUCGAUGUGGGCGGAAUUCGUGGUGUAGCGGUGAAAUGCUUAGAUAUCACGAAGAACUCCGAUUGCGAAGGCAGCCCACAAGGCCUUUACUGACGCUAAAGCUCGAAGGUGCGGGUAUCGAACAGGAUUAGAUACCCUGGUAGUCCGCACGGUAAACGAUGGAUGCCCGCUGUUUGCGAUAUACUGUGAGCGGCCAAGAGAAAUCGUUAAGCAUCCCACCUGGGGAGUACGCCGGCAACGGUGAAACUCAAAGGAAUUGACGGGGGCCCGCACAAGCGGAGGAACAUGUGGUUUAAUUCGAUGAUACGCGAGGAACCUUACCCGGGCUUGAACUGCAGCGGAAGGAUACAGAGAUGUUGACGCCCUUCGGGGCCGCUGUGGAGGUGCUGCAUGGUUGUCGUCAGCUCGUGCCGUGAGGUGUCGGCUUAAGUGCCAUAACGAGCGCAACCCUUUUCAUCAGUUGCCAUCACGUGAUGGUGGGCACUCUGGUGAUACUGCCACCGUAAGGUGUGAGGAAGGUGGGGAUGACGUCAAAUCAGCACGGCCCUUACGUCCGGGGCUACACACGUGUUACAAUGGGGCAUACAGAAGGCAGGACCAUGGCAACAUGGUUCAAAUCUUAAAAGUGCCCCUCAGUUCGGAUUGGGUCUGCAACCCGACCCCAUGAAGCUGGAUUCGCUAGUAAUCGCGCAUCAGCCAUGGCGCGGUGAAUACGUUCCCGGGCCUUGUACACACCGCCCGU